UACAUUGUUCAUCCCACCAGGGAACAAGU
rnacentral:sRNA from 1 species